rnacentral:rRNA from 1 species
UACGUAGGGGGUUAGCGUUAUUCGGAAUCAUUGGGCGUAAAGGGUGUGUAGACGGUAUACCAAGUCAACUGUUUAAUUCUUCGGCCUAACCGAAGGUCAGCGGUAGAAACUAGUGUGCUAGAGGAUGGGAGAGAGAAGUGGAAUUCUCGGAGUAGCGGUAAAAUGCGUAGAUCUCGAGGGGAACACCAAUGGCGAAGGCAGCUUCUUGGCCCAAUCCUGACGUUGAAACACGAAAGCGUGGGGAGCAAACAGG